CUCUUCCGUAGGUGAACCUGCGGAAGGAUCAUUAAUGAAUUUUAUGACAGGGUUGUUGCUGGCCCUUACUGGACAUGUGCACACUUUGUACAUUCCAAUUCUUACACCUCUGUGCACUUCUCAUAGAUUUAGUGUGGAAGAGAUCUUAUUGAUCUUGGAAACGCUGAAUCUGUGUUUUUACAAACGCUUUAUAUUAGAAUGUCAUCUGCGAAUAACGCAAUAAAUACAACUUUCACAACGGAUCUCUUGGCUCUCGCAUCGAUGAAGAACGCAGCGAAAUGCGAUAAGUAAUGUGAAUUGCAGAAUUCAGUGAAUCAUCGAAUCUUUGAACGCACCUUGCGCCCCUUGGUAUUCCGAGGGGCAUGCCUGUUUGAGUGUCAUGGUAUUCUCAAUACCCUACAUCUUUGCGGAUGAAGGUGUAUUGGAUUUGGAGGUUUAUGUUGGCUCUCUUGAGAGUCAGCUCCUCUUAAAUGUAUUAGCAGAGAUGUUACUGCUACUCUCCAGUGUGAUAAUUGUCUACACUGUUAGUAGUGCAGUAAAAAUUAAGUCUAUGCUUCUAAUCGUCUCCGGACAGUUUUUUGACAUCUGACCUCAAAUCAGGUAGGACUACCCGCUGAACUUAAGCAUAUCAAUAAGCGGAGGAA
rnacentral:rRNA from 1 species